rnacentral:rRNA from 1 species
CACUCCUGCGGGAGGCAGCAGUGGGGAAUAUUGGACAAUGGGCGCAAGCCUGAUCCAGCCAUGCCGCGUGAGUGAUGAAGGCCCUAGGGUUGUAAAGCUCUUUCACCGGUGAAGAUAAUGACGGUAACCGGAGAAGAAGCCCCGGCUAACUUCGUGCCAGCCACCGCGGUAAUACGAAGGGGGCUAGCGUUGUUCGGAUUUACUGGGCGUAAAGCGCACGUAGGCGGACUAUUAAGUCAGGGGUGAAAUCCCGGGGCUCAACCCCGGAACUGCCUUUGAUACUGGUAGUCUUGAGUUCGAGAGAGGUGAGUUGAAUUCCGAGUGUAGAGGUGAAAUUCGUAGAUAUUCGGAGGAACACCAGUGGCGAAGGCGGCUCACUGGCUCGAUACUGACGCUGAGGUGCGAAAGCGUGGGGAGCAAACAGGAUUAGAAACCCCAGUAGUCCCAUGAU